CAGGAAUAGUUGGGAUAACUCAGUUGGUAGAGCAGAGGACUGAAAAUCCUCGUGUCACUAGUUCAAAUCUGGUUCCUGACAC
rnacentral:tRNA from 1 species